AAGGACAAGCGCGAGAGUAAGAACUAUUCAAGGAGUCACAGUACCUUAGCAAAAUUUUGCUAUCAGGUUGAGUUGUGAUGGGCGAUGAAGUGUUGCUGAGUGGAGUUUUUGUUGAACUUAAAGUAGGCUCAGAAAGGAUACAUGUCUUCAUACAUGUAUCUCAGUUAUGCAUUCCGCUGUAAACACUGAUUAUUUCAGUUACA